rnacentral:lncRNA from 1 species
CAUUUUGGGGUUUUUUAGUGGGUGAUUUUGGAGAUUUUUGGGAUGGAUUUUGAGGAGAUUUUUAAAGUUUUUGGGGCAUUUUUUGGAAUUUUUUGGGGGAUUUUUAGGGGGAUUUUGGGUCAAUUUUGGGGCAUUUUUUGGUAAUUUUGGGUUAUUUUGGGGGUUUUUUCAGGUCAUUUUUAGGGGAUUUUUGGGGUAAUUUUUGGCGGGUUUUUUUGUAUUUUUGGGGCAUUUUUGGUCCUUUUUGGGGUAUUUUGGGGCUAUUUUUGGGGUAUUUUUUGGUAAUUUUGGGGUCAUUUUGGGGUAAUUUUUGGGGUAUUUUUGGUCGUUUUUGGGGUCAUUUUGGGGGUAUUUUUUUGGAGAAAUUUUUGUGUAUUUUUGGGGUAUUUUGGGUCAUUUUUGAGGAAUUUUUGGGGGAAUUUUGGGGUAAUUUGGGUCAUUUUUGGGGUAUUUCAGGGAGCAUUUUUGUGUAUUUUGGGAACAUUUUUUGGUAUUUCUGGGGGUAUUUUGGGAGCAUUUUGAGGAUAUUUCAGGGGUAUUUUUUUGGUAUUUCUGGGGGUAUUUUUUUGAUAUUUCAGGGCUAUUUCAGAGAGUAUUUUUGGGAUAUUUCAGGGCUAUUUUUGGGCUAUUUCAGGGCUAUUUUUGGGCUAUUUCAGGGGCUGUUUGUCACCGUACCUGCUGUCCCUGCUGCGCGGCCGGGGGGGUCCCGCUGGCCCGGCCCCCCCGGGGCUCUGCCCGUAGUACGCCGCCUGCUGUCGGUAAUACUCGGCCCAGGCCGCGCUGUAAUCGGGCUGGGGGCCGGGGGGAGCCCCGGGACCACCCCCCGAGGCCACCUGGGCGGCUGGGGGGGGACACCAAAGGGAGGGGUCAGCACCCCAAAAUCACCCAAAGGGGGGUCAGCACCCCCAAAUCAAUCAGAACCCCCAAAAAAAACCACCCAGGGUGGGGUCAGGAC